AUACGGAGGGUGCAAGCGUUAUCCGGAAUCAUUGGGUUUAAAGGGUCCGUAGGCGGGCUAUUAAGUCAGAGGUGAAAUCCCACAGCUCAACUGUGGAACUGCCUUUGAUACUGAUAGUCUUGAGUUACUGUGAAGUAGAUAGAAUAUGUAGUGUAGCGGUGAAAUGCAUAGAUAUUACAUAGAAUACCGAUUGCGAAGGCAGUCUACUAACUGUAUACUGACGCUGAUGGACGAAAGCGUGGGGAGCGAACAGAAUUAGAAACCCUAGUAGUCC
rnacentral:rRNA from 1 species